CUAUAGUAGUAGACGUUAAGUUGAUGUGCGCGUGAUACUAUGACAAUAUCCUAUCUCAUAUCAUGUAUUUUAAUUAUUUUCACGGGAAUAAUCACCGAGGGAAACAGAUAUGUGCGAUCAUCAGAAGAUAUGGAGCAGGGGCUUUCCCCAAACCACCCGGAAAAUAUGUGUAAUGCAUGCUCUGUGGAGGACCGGGCAUGUACACGGGAAACGCCCGUACCCUGUAAUAGUGUUUACUCAACAACUUCACCUAACUAUGAGACGACCUCCAACAACUAUGCUUGGUUUCAUCACGGAGAUUAUGCUGAUUUCUUUAUCUCCUCACCAGCUCCCAGAACUGGAGUAUGUCUAGAAACACAGACGUUCAAAUGUCGAUAUUAUAAAUGUUCUGAUGCUUGUUGUAAAGGAUGGAUGAUGGAUCCGGUCACAAACCGAUGUACAAUAAAAAGUGUGGAACCGGUAACACUGGAGUGCUAUAAUGGAGGAACAGCGAUUAACACAGAUGAUGGAUUGGUGUGUGUUUGUAAGCAUGACUUUACUGGGCAACAUUGUGAAACAUUCUUAUGCCACCCAGUUUGUCAGAAUGAUGGAUUGUGUGAUUAUAUUGAUGGAGCUCCCAGAUGUGUCUGUAAAGAUGGCUACGAAGGCAUG